GAUGAAGAACGUAGCGAAAUGCGAUAAGUAAUGUGAAUUGCAGAAUUCAGUGAAUCAUCGAAUCUUUGAACGCUCAUUGCGCCCGCCAGUAUUCUGGCGGGCAUGCCUGUUCGAGCGUCAUUUCAACCCUCAAGACCCCUUCGGGGGACUUGGUGUUGGGGACCGGCACAGGGGCCUGCCUGCUUGUCUUGCAGCGCCCUCGCCGCCCCCGAAAUGAAUUGGCGGCCUCGUCGCGGCCUCCCCUGCGUAGUAGCACAACCUCGCAACGGGAACGUGACGGCGGCCACUGCCGUAAAACAACCCCAAUUUUAUUAGAGUUGACCUCGAAUCAGGUAGGAAUACCCGCUGAACUUAAGCAUAUCAAUAAGCGGAGGA
rnacentral:misc_RNA from 1 species